rnacentral:rRNA from 1 species
UACGUAGGGUGCAAGCGUUGUCCGGAAUUAUUGGGCGUAAAGAGCUCGUAGGCGGUUUGUCGCGUCUGCUGUGAAAAUCCAGGGCUUAACCCUGGACCUGCAGUGGGUACGGGCAGACUAGAGUGUGGUAGGGGAGACUGGAAUUCCUGGUGUAGCGGUGAAAUGCGCAGAUAUCAGGAGGAACACCGAUGGCGAAGGCAGUUCUCUGGGCCGUAACUGACGCUGGAGGAGCGAAAGCCGUGGGGAGCGAACAGG